GACUGUAACAUCAUCUCCAUAAAUAAGUAAAGCUAUAAAGAAUAACUCCAUGAACACAGUACUUUGCUGGAAGCACUGAAGCACCAGACAAGAAAGACUGAGUUUCUUCUCUAAAGACACCAAAGGUGAUUUCUGCACACACCGGCUCCCCUUCACCUUCCUUCUUGAGUGGAAGCAACCUAAGACCCUCACCAGAUGAAGGCACUGGUGCCAUCCAUGCGACUUGUACAGCUUGCAGAACGAUAAAAUAUUAAUACUCUAUGUCAGGGGUCCCCAACCCCCUGGCUGCAGAGUGGUACUUGUCCAUGGACUCUUAAGAACCAGGCCACACAGCAGCAGGUGAGUGGUAGGCAAGCGAGCAUUACAGCCUGAGCUCCACCUCCCGUCAGAUCAGCUGUGGCAUCGGAUUCUCAUAGGAACUCAAACCCUGUUGUGAACUGCAAGUUGAGGGAUCUAGGUUGCUCGCUCCUUAUGAGAAGCUAAUUCCUGAUGAUCUGAGGUGGAACAGUUUCACCCCAAAACCAUCCCCACAACAUCUGUGGAAAAGUUGUCUUUCAUGAAACUGGUCUCUAGUGCCAAAAAGAUUGGGGACUGCUGUUUUAUGUGUUCUUUUGGAAUUUGUUUCUAUUUCUCAACAUCAGGUUUAAGAUUUUCACCAAUGUAAUCUAGUUUAUAUAUACAGCAUUUGUCUAUGUGUAGUAUUUUAUUCUAUGGAUAUACCCAUAAUUUAUUUACCCAUUUUGUUUUUGAUUGACACAGAGUUUGUUUCCAAUAUAUUGCUCUAGUAAACUAUGUUGUUACUCAUGUCUUAAACAUUCUUUGUUUAUUUUUGCAAAUGUAUGAGAAUUCCUUUGCAUUAUAACUAGAGGUAGAGUGGCUGGAUUGUAGACUAUAAACAUCCACUCCACUAUAUAUUGCAAAAUAUUUUCAUAAGUGCAAUUGUUAUUUUCAAAAUAAUAUAUUAAUGUCUUGGAAAUGUAUUCUAUCAUAAAAAAAUUAAAACUAUUUUUAUUUUAAAAAUUUGAAUUGCAUUAUGCAUUGUGUUUAUAAAUUACCUUUUUGCAGUUACUAACAUU
rnacentral:lncRNA from 1 species